rnacentral:lncRNA from 1 species
ACACUUAAAAAUUGAAAAAUUUCCCGAUCACCCCCUUUCGGAAAAGGUGUGACAAUAUCGAUUAUGGUCUGUCCAAAAAGGGGAAGGGGAAUGGGUUUAUAUAGCAGCAAAAAAGGAUGCACAAACAAGAAAAAUAAUUGUUUAAACACAAGGAAAGAAAUUAAGUAAAUACAGACAAAGAAAAGGGAGAAAUCACGCAUGCAAGUCAGUAAAACAAUAGAAAUGGAAAAGUAUCAAACUCCAAACCCUAGUUUGGGUUUUAAAGUCAAAAUCGGACAACUGGUAUAAAGGAUCCAAUACAUCUCGCGUAUAUAGGUGGAAUAUCACACAAAUCUUCAAGAUUGAGUCGAUUAUAUUCCGAUAUAGAGGUGGUAUUUUCCAAACGUAGGCAAAUACCUAAGUAAUACAAAAUUGAGUAGCUAGUUACAAAGGAACCAAAAUAUGGCAAGAAAUAAUUGUAAAAUUCCAGUAUCAGCAAGAUUAGGAGAGGGGCUUUGGGGGUGAGAUAGGUAGGGUUUGUAGAAGAUGAGAGCGUGUGAGGGCAGCGUAG